UACGGAGGGAGCUAGCGUUGUUCGGAUAUACUGGGCGUAAAGGGCGCGUAGGCGGCCACGACAAGUCACUUGUGAAAUCUCCGGGCUUAACCCGGAACGGUCAAGUGAUACUGUCGGGCUAGAGUGCAGAAGGGGCAACUGGAAUUCUCGGUGUAGCGGUGAAAUGCGUAGAUAUCGAGAGGAACACCGGUGGCGAAGGCGCCUGCUGGGCAGUAGCUGACACUGAGGCGCGACAGCGUGGGGGAGCAAACAGG
rnacentral:rRNA from 1 species